rnacentral:rRNA from 1 species
UACAGAGGGUGCGAGCGUUGUCCGGAAUCACUGGGCGUAAAGGGCGCGUAGGCGGCUUGAUAAGGUUGCGGUGAAAGCCCGGGCUCAACUCCGAGUCGGCCGUGCGAACUGGGCUCACUGGAGCAUAGUAGAGGCAGGUGGAAUUCCGGGUGUAGCGGUGGAAUGCGUAGAGAUCCGGAAGAACACCGGUGGCGAAGGCGGUUCUCUGGGCAUUACCUGACGCUGAGGAGCGAAAGUGUGGGGAGCGAACAGG